rnacentral:rRNA from 1 species
UACAGAGGUCUCAAGCGUUGUUCGGAUUCAUUGGGCGUAAAGGGUGCGUAGGUGGCGCCGUAAGUCGGGUGUGAAAUCUCGGGGCUUAACUCCGAAACUGCAUUCGAUACUGCGGUGCUUGAGGACUGGAGAGGAGACUGGAAUUCAUGGUGUAGCAGUGAAAUGCGUAGAUAUCGUAAGGAAGACCAGUGGCGAAGGCGGGUCUCUGGACAGUUCCUGACGCUGAGGCACGAAGGUCAGGGGAGCAAACAGG